rnacentral:rRNA from 1 species
GAGUUUGAUCUUGGCUCAGAUUGAACGCUGGCGGCAGGCCUAACACAUGCAAGUCGAACGGUAACAGGAAACAGCUUGCUGUUUCGCUGACGAGUGGCGGACGGGUGAGUAAUGUCUGGGAAACUGCCUGAUGGAGGGGGAUAACUACUGGAAACGGUAGCUAAUACCGCGUAACGUCGCAAGACCAAAGAGGGGGACCUUGGGCCUCUUGCCAUCGGAUGUGCCCAGAUGGGAUUAGCUAGUAGGUGGGGUAACGGCGUCACCUAGGCGACGAUCCCUAGCUGGUCUGAGAGGAUGACCAGCCACACUGGAACUGAGACACGGUCCAGACCCCUACGGGAGGCAGCAGUGGGGAUAUUGCACAAUGGGCGCAAGCCUGAUGCAGCCAUGCCGCGUGUAUGAA